UACAGAGGUCUCAAGCGUUGUUCGGAUUCAUUGGGCGUAAAGGGUGCGUAGGCGGCGCGGUAAGUCGGGUGUGAAAUCUCGGAGCUUAACUCCGAAACUGCAUUUGAUACUGUGGUGCUUGAGGACUGGGAGAGGAGACUGGAAUUCACGGUGUAGCAGUAGAAAUGCGUAGAGAUCGUAAGGGAAGGCCGGUGGCGAAGGCGAGUUCCUGGACAGUUACUGA
rnacentral:rRNA from 1 species